rnacentral:rRNA from 1 species
UGAAUACGAGAUGCUACGGCGUCGAAGCAGUCUAUGUCAUACUUCCAAGAAAAGCUUGCACUGUCAUAAACAAAUAAUGCCUGUACCAUAACCGACACAGGUGGGUAGGUAGAGUAUACUAAGGGGCGCGAGAUAACUCUCUCUAAGGAACUCGGCAAAAUGACUCCGUAACUUCGGGAGAAGGAGUGCCUUAUUUAUAAGGUUGCAAUAACAAGAUCCAAGCAACUGUUUACCAAAAACACAGGUCUCCGCUAAGUCGUAAGACGAUGUAUGGGGGCUGACGCCUGCCCAGUGCCAGAAGGUUAAAGAAGUUGGUUAGCAUCCGCGAAGCUGAUAACUGAAGCCCUGGUGAACGGCGGCCGUAACUAUAACGGUCCUAAGGUAGCGAAAUUCCUUGUCGGGUAAGUUCCGACCCGCACGAAAGGCGUAAUGAUUUGAUACUGUCUCGGAGAGGGGCUCGGUGAAAUAGACUUGUCUGUGAAGAUGCGGACUACCUGCACCAGGACAGAAAGACCCUAUGAAGCUUUACUGUAACCUGAAAUUGAAAUUGGACUUUACUUGCGCAGUAUAGGUGGGAGGCGUUGAGAAUAUUCUUGCGGGAUUAUUGGAGCCAUCAGUGAGAUACCACUCUUGUAAUGUUAGAUUUCUAACUUUGUAUCAUUAUCUGGUCAAAGAACAGUUUCAGGCGGGCAGUUUGACUGGGGCGGUCGCCUCCUAAACGGUAACGGAGGCGCACAAAGGUUUCCUCUGAACGGGUAGAAAUCGUAUCUAGAGUGUAAAGGCAUAAGGAAGCUUGACUGUGAGACCUACAAGUCGAGCAGGGACGAAAGUCGGUCUUAGUGAUCUGACGGUGCUGAGUGGAAAGGCCGUCACUCAACGGAUAAAAGUUACUCUAGGAUAACAGGCUGAUCUCCCCCAAGAGUUCACAUCGACGGGGAGGUUUGGCACCUCGAUGUCGGCUCAUCGCAUCCUGGGGCGGUAGUACGUCCCAAGGGUUGGGCUGUUCGCCCAUGAAAGCGGUACGCGAGCUGGGUUCAGAACGUCGUGAGACAGUUCGGUCCAUAUCCGGUGUAGGCGUUAGAAUAUUGAGAGGAGCCUUCUUUAGUACGAGAGGACCGAGAAGGACGUACCUCUGGUGUACCAGUUAUCGUGCCAACGGUAAACGCUGGGUAGCUAUGUGUGGAGUGGAUAACCGCUGAAAGCAUCUAAGUGGGAAGCCCACCUCAAGAUAAGUAUUCUCA